ACCAAAAAAAGAAUUCACCCUAGGGGCCAAGAGGAGGAGGUAACUCGUGAGGAGGUGAUAAAACUAGCAACGGGCGAAAGAGGUCGUGCUAGCCGUUUUGGACAUCUGAGGGUCUCCCUCCCGAGAGAGCACAGGAAGAGGGAAUAUGAUCUUACCUGAAACAGCAUAAGACACGGAGCCAGGAACUCAGGCGCAUCCUCAAUCUGGCGGUGCUGUCCGGUAACCCCAGCACUCAAGAGAUGGAGGCCUGAGCAUCAGGAGUUCGAAGCCAGCCUGGGAGCCCUCCAAAACCAAGCAACAACAAAAUGAAUAAAUCUAAUUCUGCAUAAGCCAUAAUAA